UCUCCGUAGGUGAACCUGCGGAGGGAUCAUUACUGAGUGAGGGCUUCGGUCCGACCCCCAACCCUUUGUGUACCAAACUUGUUGCUUCUGGGGCGACCCUGCCGCUUCUGCGGGGCGGCGCCCCCGGAGGCCAUUAAACACUGCAUCAUUGCGUCGGAGUUAAAGUAAAUUAAACAAAACUUUCAACAACGGAUCUCUUGGUUCCAGCAUCGAUGAAGAACGCAGC
rnacentral:misc_RNA from 1 species